AAUCCAUAGGUUAAUGAGGCGAACCGGGGGAACUGAAACAUCUAAGUACCCCGAGGAAAAGAAAUCAACCGAGAUUCCCCCAGUAGCGGCGAGCGAACGGGGAGGAGCCCAGAGCCUGAAUCAGCAUGUGUGUUAGUGGAAGCGUCUGGAAAGGCGCGCGAUACAGGGUGACAGCCCCGUACACAAAAGCGCAUGUGCUGUGAGCUCGAUGAGUAGGGCGGGACACGUGGUAUCCUGUCUGAAUAUGGGGGGACCAUCCUCCAAGGCUAAAUACUCCUGACUGACCGAUAGUGAACCAGUACCGUGAGGGAAAGGCGAAAAGAACCCCGGCGAGGGGAGUGAAAAAGAACCUGAAACCGUGUACGUACAAGCAGUGGGAGCACAGGUUUACCUGUGUGACUGCGUACCUUUUGUAUAAUGGGUCAGCGACUUAUAUUCUGUAGCAAGGUUAACCGAAUAGGGGAGCCGGAGGGAAACCGAGUCUUAAUUGGGCGUUAAGUUGCAGGGUAUAGACCCGAAACCCGGUGAUCUAGCCAUGGGCAGGUUGAAGGUUGGGUAACACUAACUGGAGGACCGAACCGACUAAUGUUGAAAAAUUAGCGGAUGACCUGUGGCUGGGGGUGAAAGGCCAAUCAAACCGGGAGAUAGCUGGUUCUCCCCGAAAGCUAUUUAGGUAGCGCCUCGUGAAUUCAUCUCCGGGGGUAGAGCACUGUUUCGGCUAGGGGGCCAUCCCGGCUUACCAACCCGAUGCAAACUGCGAAUACCGGAGAAUGUUAUCACGGGAGACACACGGCGGGUGCUAACGUCCGUCGUGAAGAGGGAAACAACCCAGACCGCCAGCUAAGGUCCCAAAGUCAUGGUUAAGUGGGAAACGAUGUGGGAAGGCCCAGACAGCCAGGAUGUUGGCUUAGAAGCAGCCAUCAUUUAAAGAAAGCGUAAUAGCUCACUGGUCGAGUCGGCCUGCGCGGAAGAUGUAACGGGGCUAAACCAUGCACCGAAGCUGCGGCAGCGAACGUAUCACUUAAAGCGAUUCAGCGGGUUACGAUUGACGGAGCGAAGCGACGUCAAAGCGUAUACAAAGUCGAGUCGGUUUAAGGAUACGUUCGUUGGGUAGGGGAGCGUUCUGUAAGCCUGUGAAGGUGGCCUGUGAGGGUUGCUGGAGGUAUCAGAAGUGCGAAUGCUGACAUAAGUAACGAUAAAGCGGGUGAAAAGCCCGCUCGCCGGAAGACCAAGGGUUCCUGUCCAACGUUAAUCGGGGCAGGGUGAGUCGACCCCUAAGGCGAGGCCGA
rnacentral:rRNA from 2 species